rnacentral:tRNA from 1 species
GGCACUGUAGCUUAGUGGAUACAGUUCCUACCUUGUAAACAGGAGAUCCUGGGUUCAAAUCCCAGCAGUACCU